UCUGAUGGAGCACGCCGCGUGAGUGAAGAAGGUUUUCGGAUCGUAAAGCUCUGUUGUUGGUGAAGAAGGAUAGAGGUAGUAACUGGCCUUUAUUUGACGGUAAUCAACCAGAAAGUCACGGCUAACUACGUGCCAGCAGCCGCGGUAAUACGUAGGUGGCAAGCGUUGUCCGGAUUUAUUGGGCGUAAAGCGAGCGCAGGCGGAAAAAUAAGUCUAAUGUGAAAGCCCUCGGCUUAACCGAGGAACUGCAUCGGAAACUGUUUUUCUUGAGUGCAGAAGAGGAGAGUGGAACUCCAUGUGUAGCGGUGGAAUGCGUAGAUAUAUGGAAGAACACCAGUGGCGAAGGCGGCUCUCUGGUCUGCAACUGACGCUGAGGCUCGAAAGCAUGGGUAGCGAACAGGAUUAGAUACCCUGGUAGUCCAUGCCGUAAACGAUGAGUGCUAAGUGUUGGGAGGUUUCCGCCUCUCAGUGCUGCAGCUAACGCAUUAAGCACUCCGCCUGGGGAGUACGACCGCAAGGUUGAAACUCAAAGGAAUUGACGGGGGCCCGCACAAGCGGUGGAGCAUGUGGUUUAAUUCGAAGCAACGCGAAGAACCUUACCAGGUCUUGACAUCUAGUGCAAUCUGUAGAGA
rnacentral:rRNA from 1 species